UAGGCGGCGGCGCCCACGUGAUCGGGCCUGUCACAGAAACCGCGGCGGCCAUCUUGGAAGAGGGCGGAAAGCCGCCUGAGCCCGGCCGGAGGGAGGGCGCUGGCAUUCUGACGGAGCACAACUUGGAGAAGCAGAAGGGAAUGCAGUUGGGAAGGUUUAACAGCAUCCCAGAAUCCCAGACUAAAGACCGUAUCAUAACUACUCACAGGUGGCCGCUCUUCCUUAUUCAUCUGCCCAGUCUCUUGGUUGGUUGGUUGGUUGGUUGUUUUGGCCCAGAGAUUCCCCACGGCCUGGAAGAAUACAGAGACAAAUGAGGACAGCUGUGGUGCGGGAGGCACGAGAUCUUGGUUGAAAUUUGCCUCUCCAUUUGGACCAACUAUAUCAACCUUGGGGUCUUCAUAUCCUUAGACCCAGAAGUCCAUCCCACUUACAGAGGUUUCCACUGUGAAUCAGAAAGGCAGACUAAGCUUUCCAUGGUGAUAUGUUACCAGGAAAAACCCUCUCUGCCCCCGGCACUGUGCUGCGUAUUUUAUAUAUGCCUUGCCAUCUACAUACAGCAGCCCUGAGAUAGGUCCCAUCAGAAAUCCCAUUUUACAAAUCAAGAAAGAAAUUGUUACUCAGAGAAGGCACUUGCCCACGUCACGCAGCUAGUAAGGGGUUCUAGCUCAGCAUGGUCUGACACUGGCACCCGGCUCCCAACACCCACGCUAACUCCCACACCAGGACUUUGUGAACAAAAAUACUCAACAUAUGGAAAGGAAGGAAAAAAAAAUAGAGAAACCAAAAACCAAACCCUUAACUAUAGAGAACAAGCAGAUGGUUACCAGAGGGGUAGUGGGUGGGGGGUGGAGGAAAGAGGUGAAAGGGAUUAAAAAGUACAAUGAUGAUGCGCACUGAGUCAUGUAGAGAAUUAUUGAAUCACUAUAUUAUACACCUGGAACUAAUAUAAUGCUGUAUGUUCAUGAUACUGGAAUUAAAAUUUUUUAAAAAUUAAUAAAAGCUAAAAAAAAAUACUCAACAAAUGUUUACACAUAACUGAACCCAUAUGUAUGUCUAUGUAUUUGUAUAUAAAUAUAUAUACACGCUAAUCCUCAGCCAUGUGAAAAUUGUAUGCAGAGAAAAACACUGGAAGCAAAUAUGCCAAUAUAGUAAUAGUGGUUAUCCUGGGUGGCGGAAUUAGGAGGACUUCGUUUCUUCUUUAUUUUUUUCUAUAUUUUCCAAAUUUUCUGCAAUGAACAUUCAUUGUUCUGAUAACUGGAAAACAUAUAAUUUUUAAAUAAAAUAAACAUUCUUUGAUUGUUCUACCA